AGCGGGGUAGGGUAGCCAGGAAAUCCCGACGGGCUCAUAACCCGUAGACCGAUGGUUCAAAUCCAUCCCCCGCUA
rnacentral:tRNA from 1 species